UACGUAGGGGGCAAGCGUUGUCCGGAUUUAUUGGGCGUAAAGCGCACGCAGGCGGUCUCUUAAGUUUUGAGUGACAGGUGGUGGCUCAACUACCACAGGCCUUGGAAAACUGGGAGACUUGAGGACUUCAGAGGGAUGCGGAAUUCCAGGUGGAGCGGUGAAAUGCGUAGAUAUCAGGAGGAACACCCGUAGCGAAGGCGGCACUCUGGGCCGGAACUGACGCUGAGGAGCGAAAGCGUGGGGAGCGAACAGG
rnacentral:rRNA from 1 species